CCUACGGGAGGCUGCAGUAGGGAAUCUUCCACAAUGGGCGCAAGCCUGAUGGAGCAACACCGCGUGAGUGAAGAAGGGUUUCGGCUCGUAAAGCUCUGUUGUUGGAGAAGAACGUUCGUGAGAGUAACUGUUCACGCAGUGACGGUAUCCAACCAGAAAGUCACGGCUAACUACGUGCCAGCAGCCGCGGUAAUACGUAGGUGGCAAGCGUUAUCCGGAUUUAUUGGGCGUAAAGCGAGCGCAGGCGGUUGCUGAGGUCUGAUGUGAAAGCCUUCGGCUUAACCGGAGAAGUGCAUCGGAAACCGGGCAACUUGAGUGCAGAAGAGGACAGUGGAACUCCAUGUGUAGCGGUGGAAUGCGUAGAUAUAUGGAAGAACACCAGUGGCGAAGGCGGCUGUCUGGUCUGCAACUGACGCUGAGGCUCGAAAGCAUGGGUAGCGAACAGGAUUAGAUACCCUAGUAGUC
rnacentral:rRNA from 1 species